UUUUGCUAUUUUUUGCGGUGAAGUGGCCCGCGACACGGCUGUCCGAAAUGGAUAUGGCCCGCAGGCCGAAAAAGGUUGGGCAUCACUGUGCUAUAUAGUUGAGUAUGUUAGAAUUGAUCAAGUUUCGAGACAUUUAAAAAUACCCUCCUGCUUAUCUCUGUGUCUCUGAAGUGUAAUCACACAUUUUUAUUAUCUAUUCUCCCUUUUGUUAUUUUUAAGGCCUCUGCCAUCCUGUCUACAGUCGAUAAAAGCGAUGAAAGUCAUUAAAAGUGGCAUCUGUGAUCUUCUACCUCCGGGUGGAAUUUUUUUUUUUUUUUUACACUCAUCCUCCAGGUUUAUGAAACCUUUAACGAUUUAAAGGUCUGGCGAGGUACACAUUUUUAAUAAAAAUUUUAACUAAUCACGAACAGAACGAGGUUUAAAUCGUGAGUUCACCUUUGUACGUGCGUUUAUGUGUCUGUCUUUUGUUACAUGCAUCCACGGUUGUUCAUCCGUCCGUCCUACGUAUGAUGUCCCUAUCUCUUUCGUCUUUCAAGUGUUGAGUCUGUGCCUUCAUGAAUGUGAUCAUACCGUACAUAAAUCACACGGCAUUAUUUUUCUUUUGAUGACGAUGGAUGACGAUGGAUGAUGAUGGAUGAUGAUUAUUGGUAGCAGUAUUAGUAAUUUUUUCAGUUCUCUUGCUCAGACCACGACAACGUCGACAUUCAAAAGCACGACCCUAAGGUGACCUCUUUCUGUGACCUCUUGUUGACCUCUUUCUAUGUAUGGCGAUAUUUGUCUCAAAAAAAAAAAAAAAAGAAAGAAAAAACGAAGGUGAGAACCACUCAGGUUUGGGGAAAUAAUAUUUUGCACUAAGCUUUACCCCAAAACAAUUUCUACCCUACUAGUCCUUUAAAAUCGCUCCUUUGACUGCUGUAUAAAUACAGAGACCUGUCUGUGCCCGCGAUAAAAGUAACAAGAUGUUUUAUGAUCGUAGGCUGGCAUGAAAAUACCCGGAGGUGUACCAACUAGCCCUGUUAUAAUACACACACACACAGAUGAUAUUGAAACAUAGGCUCGAGGAUAUAUUACAAACCUUUCAGCGAGCACCUCCCAGUGAUGACAUAAACAGUGAAGGCACCUUCCCAGCUAGCAAGGAACUAAGGUGGGGAAAAAAGCAAUGUUCAUUUGAAACCAGCAGUGGGAAGAUCAUUGUGAAAGAUCAUAUUAUCAGAAAUGGGAGAAGCAGAGACUAGUCUGAUUUUACGUCGUCAGAAUGCAGGUUCAUUUUCCUAAGAGGGGUUCUUAUAAGUGUUUGAACAACUGGCCUCUUGUGAAGUUCUCCGCGGUCAGUCUCGGCGAACCAGAUGACGACCUGACUUCCGGAAGAGCGAAGAUGGAAUUUAACGAGACUUUUGAUAUCAGCAAUAUAAUAACCAGAACAAGUGAUUGGCAUCGCUGUGGUCCGUGGCAGUGAGUGUGUGACCAGUGCAAGCACUUCACAACCUCCAGAACGCUGCAGAAUCUUCCUGAGGCUGACAAGGGCAUCGCAACAAGAACGCAGUUCUGGACUGUUCGAUGACCUUCCUGACCUUCUUGGUCUGAUGACCUUAAUGACCCUUGUGGAAACGAGAUCGUCUCUAAGAUGCGACAAAUUAGUGACUCUUAGAGCUGGCAUCGAUGCAGAACAUACAGAACAUAUUUAGAGAAAAAAGUGGCUCAUCGACGAGAAAAAAAUCAGUUAAAAUAACCAGAAAACUACUGGACGUACGCGCUAACAAAAAGACUACAAAAAGAUACCAUGACUGUAAAACAAUAGUACAUAAGGCGUACUCGUGUUCUGGAUGCUGCCCUUAUUACCUAAAGUGUGAUCAGGAUUGGAUAAAACACUUGUGUGGUAAAGUGUGUUCACGCAUCUCACGUGCAAGAUGUUACUAAGUCCUACGGAGCAAGAAGACGAAUAAAGUAACUCCAGUUCUACUGUUCGUUUAAAAAAAACCCGAUUAAUCCUUCGAAAAAAAAAGUUCAUUCCAACCCUGGAAAAACAUGGCGGUCACUGGAAGUUUAUACAGUUGAAGGAUUUGGAUUGCUGGCUUAGCUAUGUAACGUCUGCGUGAUGCAUGCAGGCGGUGUGUGACGUUUACCGCCCGAGUGACGCUCGUUACUUUUAUGACAAUCGUGCAAGACUUGCAGGACCUGCUGACCGCGACCCAACAAGA